GACGAACGCUGGCGGCGUGCCUAAUACAUGCAAGUCGAACGCAGUGGGGACGGGUGAGUAACACGUGGGUAACCUCCCAUCAGAGGGGAUAACACUUGGAAACAGGUGCUAAACCGAUACUGAUGGAUGGACCCGCGGUGCAUUAGCUAGUUGGUGAGGUAACGGCUAACCAAGGCUACGAUGCAUAGCCGGACGGAGAGGGUGAUCGGCCACACUGGGACUGAGACACGGCCCAGACUCGUACGGGAGGCAGCAGUGGGGAAGCUUGGGCAAUGGACGAAAGUCUGACCGAGCAACGCCGCGUGUGUGAAGAAGGCUUUCGGAUCGUAAAACUCUGUUGGUAGAGAAGCGGUAUCUAACCAGAAAGCCACGGCUAACUACGUGCCAGCAGCCGCGGUAAUAC
rnacentral:rRNA from 1 species